UACGAAGGGGGCUAGCGUUGCUCGGAAUUACUGGGCGUAAAGGGCGCGCAGGCGGCCCUCCAAGUCAGGCGUGAAAGCCCCGGGCUCAACCCGGGAACAGCGCUUGAGACUGGGGGGCUUGAGUUCGGGAGAGGAGAGUGGAAUUCCCAGUGUAGAGGUGAAAUUCGUAGAUAUUGGGAAGAACACCGGUGGCGAAGGCGGCUCUCUGGACCGACACUGACGCUGAGGCGCGAAAGCGUGGGGAGCAAACAGG
rnacentral:rRNA from 1 species